rnacentral:piRNA from 1 species
AUGUUUUCAGGAACCCUAACAGGU